rnacentral:lncRNA from 1 species
GGAUUUGCAUGGAGCUAGUUGGUGGCAGAGGCAAGCUAUGCUCUCAGAGCAUGCCUGCAUUUUAAAAGGCUGGAAGGAAAUACGUCCACAUGCUAACUUGCCCCUGGCCACGCUUUUCUGGUUCUUAUCCAUGUUCUGCAGUAAACCUGUUUUGCUGUCAACAAUCAACCCAGCAUCAUGGCGAAAGGCAAAUGGCCUGAGGGCCUUCUGCCCAGGGUUGGGCUUGCAGCCUGGGUCCCUUGGGCUGGACCGAGGUGGAUCUGGGGGCCUGUGCAUCUCCUGGUUACUCCCGGGAACUGAAGGGAUGGCCCUGCUCUGCCCAGAUCCCCCUCCCAGCCCUGGGCCAGAAUCCUCCUUCCAGAACAGCCCCUGCAGACAUACUUAGCCAUUCCCAGCCCCAGCUUCAGGAAGCCUCCUGUACUUUCCAGAACUGAUUACGAUGAGUGUGAAAGGAAGGAGGACGACUGUGUGCCGGGGACAUCCUGUCGAAACACCCUCGGGUCUUUCACUUGUAGCUGCGAGGGAGGAGCCCCCGACUUCCCUGUGGAAUAUUCUGAGAGACCCUGUGAAGAACAUGACGAACACCGUGGUGAGGACCACGCUGAGGAACGACCUGUCCCAGG